rnacentral:piRNA from 1 species
UAUUAUUUGGAGAUACACUUUACUG